UUAACCUGUAUUUUAGAAUAACAAUUUUAAAUCUGUUCUUCUCACUUUAAUAACUGAUACUUCCUUUAUCUGAGGACUAUCUACCAAACUGAUUUUUGGACUAGGGAGAUGGAAUAGCAGCUUGCUCCAUCCAGGGCCGCCCGGGGGGGGGGGAGGGGGCAAGUGGGGCAAUUUGCCCCAGGCCCUGGGCCUCAC